AAAGGAAUUGACGGGGGCCCGCACAAGCGGUGGAGCAUGUGGUUUAAUUCGAUGCAACGCGAAGAACCUUACCAAGGCUUGACAUGGAGGCGACAGGCGCAGAGAUGCGCCCUCCCCCCUCGGGGGGCGCCUCGCACAGGUGGUGCAUGGUUGUCGUCAGCUCGUGUCGUGAGAUGUUGGGUUAAGUCCCGCAACGAGCGCAACCCUUAUCUUUAGUAACCAGUGCGUAAAGGCAGGCACACUAGAGAGACUGCCGUGGAUAACACGGAGGAAGGUGGGGAUGAGGUCAAAUCAUCAUGCCCCUUACGUCUUGGGCUACACACGUGCUACAAUGGCUGCAACAGAGUGAAGCGAGUGCGCGAGCAUGAGCCAACCACAAAAAAGCAGUCCCAGUUCGGAUUGUAGUCUGCAACCCGACUACAUGAAGUCGGAAUCGCUAGUAAUCGCGAAUCAGCAUGUCGCGGUGAAUACGUUCCCGGGCCUUGUACACACCGCCCGU
rnacentral:rRNA from 1 species